rnacentral:rRNA from 1 species
GGGCCCGCACAAGCGGUGGAGUAUGUGGUUUAAUUCGAUGCAACGCGAAGAACCUUACCAGGGUUUGACAUCCUGCGAAUCUCUUGGAAACGAGAGAGUGCCUUCGGGAACGCAGUGACAGGUGGUGCAUGGCUGUCGUCAGCUCGUGUCGUGAGAUGUUGGGUUAAGUCCCGCAACGAGCGCAACCCUUGUCCUUAUUUGCCAUCAUUUAGUUGGGCACUCUAGGGAGACUGCCGGUGAUAAACCGGAGGAAGGUGAGGACGACGUCAAGUCAGCAUGCCCCUUACGCCCUGGCUACACACGUACUACAAUGGCCGAGACAAAGAGUCGCAAGUUUGCGAAACAAG